rnacentral:rRNA from 1 species
AGAGUUUGAUCCUGGCUCAGAUUGAACGCUGGCGGCAUGCUUUACACAUGCAAGUCGGACGGCAGCGGGGUAGUGCUUGCACUACUGCCGGCGAGUGGCGAACGGGUGAGUAAUAUAUCGGAACGUACCGAGUAAUGGGGGAUAACUAAUCGAAAGAUUAGCUAAUACCGCAUAUUCUCUGAGGAGGAAAGCAGGGGACCUUCGGGCCUUGCGUUAUUCGAGCGGCCGAUAUCUGAUUAGCUAGUUGGUGGGGUAAAGGCCUACCAAGGCGACGAUCAGUAGCGGGUCUGAGAGGAUGAUCCGCCACACUGGGACUGAGACACGGCCCAGACUCCUACGGGAGGCAGCAGUGGGGAAUUUUGGACAAUGGGCGCAAGCCUGAUCCAGCAAUGCCGCGUGUGUGAUGAAGGCCUUCGGGUUGUAAAGCACUUUUGGCGGGAACGAAAAGGACUGUGCCAAUACCACGGUUCGAUGACGGUACCCGCAGAAUAAGCACCGGCUAACUACGUGCCAGCAGCCGCGGUAAUACGUAGGGUGCGAGCGUUAAUCGGAAUUACUGGGCGUAAAGCGAGCGCAGACGGUUACUUAAGCAGGAUGUGAAAUCCCCGGGCUCAACCUGGGAACUGCGUUCUGAACUGGGUAGCUAGAGUAUGUCAGAGGGGGGUAGAAUUCCACGUGUAGCAGUGAAAUGCGUAGAGAUGUGGAGGAAUACCGAUGGCGAAGGCAGCCCCCUGGGAUAACACUGACGUUCAUGCUCGAAAGCGUGGGUAGCAAACAGGAUUAGAUACCCUGGUAGUCCACGCCCUAAACGAUGUCGAUUAGCUGUUGGGCAGCUUGACUGCUUAGUAGCGUAGCUAACGCGUGAAAUCGACCGCCUGGGGAGUACGGUCGCAAGAUUAAAACUCAAAGGAAUUGACGGGGACC